rnacentral:lncRNA from 1 species
AAAAAACCUCUCAAAAAAUAGAGAGAAAGAGUGUGCUGUAACAACUCAUCUGUAAUCCCGAAAUUUCAUUAGUAAAAUCUCAUAUUUCUCCAAUCUCUAUCCUUCUACAUUCAAUAUUAUGUAGAUAGCUUUAAACUAUCCAUUCAUAAUUUUCUCACUUGGCUAGGUAAAUAAAUUAGACCAUUUAUUCCUAGUUAGUGCAAAGAUAUUUGGGGAUUACAUGGCAUCCAAGCUUGCAUGGCAGCCUCAAGCCUACAAAUUUCCCUAUGAAGGAAAAGCUGAUUCAUCGCCAAUUUCACCAUUCAAGUCACAGAUUCUGCUGCACUGUAUUCAGUAUCGGAUUUGCAAGUAUAGAGGCAAAGACCAUUCAAUUAGAAAUGUUUUCCCUUUCUUACUAGAAUGUUUGAUUCAUCGGAUCAAAUGCACUAGCCUGAAUCAUUCUGGUAUUAAUGAAAUAUUAGAAAACCAAUCCACCUUAAUAAUCAAAGAGAAUCUUCUAGAAAUACGAAACAAAAUUUUGGUUUAGAUGAUAAUCAGAUUUUUAGUAGAAUUUGGUAAAAGUUGAUAAAAUGUGUAGUUGAAAAGUUGUGGAUCC